rnacentral:rRNA from 1 species
UGUCGUAACAAGGUUUCCGUAGGUGAACCUGCGGAAGGAUCAUUACCACACCAAAAAUACUAUCCAUGUGAACUUGUAAAUGUUUGUAACUAUUGAUGAUGAGAGCUUUUCUUUGGAAGAGUGAUUGUUGUCAGUAUUUUGUAAAUCCAACCAUUCUAGAUAAAACUGAGAGUUUAGCUGAGUAUUUCAUUAUACUUGGUAAAGAUUUAUAAUCUUAAACAACUUUUAGCAGUGGAUGUCUAGGCUCGCACAUCGAUGAAGAGCGCUGCGAACUGCGAUACGUAAUGCGAAUUGCAGAAUUCAGUGAGUCAUCGAAAUCUUGAACGCAUAUUGCACUUUCGGGUAUACCUGGAAGUAUGCCUGUAUCAGUGUCCGUAUUUCUCCUUGUGCUAUUACUUUGUGAUAGUACAGAUAAUGAGAGUCUUGUUUUGUAAUGGAACUCGUCUUUCGAAAUGUUGAAAUUUGUGAAAUUCAUGAUGGAUUUUAUUAUAUUUCAUAACCUUGCGGUAAUCUUCGGAAUAUUUGUAAGUUUUGUGAAAGUGUGAUGAGAUCAAAUUUGUGUAUGGAUCAAUCUAUUCACUUGAGUCUGUAAAAAGAUGAUGGUGAUAUUUUCAAUUGUGGACCUGAUAUCAGGUAAGAUUACCCGCUGAAUUUAAGCAUAUAACUAAGCGGAGGAAAAGAAACUAACAAGGAUUCCCCUAGUAACGGCGAGUGAAGCGGGAUAAGCUCAAUCUUAAAAUCUCUGCGGUGAUUCACCGUGGCGAAUUGUAGUCUAUAGAGGCUGUUGUCAGCGAUGUUGCGUGGGCCAAGUCCCUUGGAAGAGGGCAGCAUAGAGGGUGAUACUCCCGUCUCUGCCUGCGCGACGUUUGCGUACGACACGCUUUCUUCGAGUCGAGUUGUUUGGGAGUGCAGCUCAAAGUAGGUGGUGAAUUCCAUCUAAAGCUAAAUAUUGGUGCGAGACCGAUAGCGAACAAGUACCGUGAGGGAAAGAUAAAAAGAACUUUGAAAAGAGAGUUAAAAAGUACCUGAAACUGCUGAAAGGGAAUCCGAUCGUUUCCAGUGCUUAUUCUUUGCAUAUUUCAAUGAUGAUUGCGCUUAUGAGUGCGUUUGUAGAGCUCUGCCUACUGCGUGUUUGUUGGGUGUAAUGGUUGUUGCCCUGUGCUUAGAUGUGAUGUCAGAGUCAGUUGUAUUCGCGGGAAAUGGUUAGUGAGGAGGUAGGGUACUUCGGUAUCUGUUAUAUCUUGCAAACUAGUAGUCGUGGAUUAGACUGAGGGGCCUACAACGUGCAAUUGGGUUUGUUAGCGUAGUGGUGUUUAUGAGUUUUGGAGUGCUUGCAUUGCUUGAUUCAUGAAUGUGGCUAUGUCUUUCUGCUACCCACGCCGUUCGGGACUUUGACAAAAUGGCGCGAUCGGUCCCGUCUUGAAACACGGACCAAGGAGUCUAACAUGUGUGCGAGUAUUAGGGUGUCAAACCCGGAUGCGCAAUGAAAGUGAAUGCUACAUUAGUAGCUGAGGUAGGAAGGUCUUCGGACUGGCACUAUCGACCGAUCAUGAGCCUACGCGGCGAAAGAUUUGAGUAUGAGCAUAUAUGUUGGUACCCGAAAGAUGGUGAACUAUGCGUGA